AUUUUAUGGAUGGACCAUCAUUCAUUUCACACGUGAUGAAUUUUAUUCCCCCUUUUCAAACGCCUAUAAGGUUUCCUUGAUGAGAUUUAUUUGGUAACCAAUGUGUGUCUAAUCCACCUCCUCUGCCCUUUUAGCCACCGCCAUCUAAAGUCGAUCAACCAUCGUUUUGCAGUCAAUUUUUACCUGGACAUUCUUCAACCCCAUAAUCUGAGCAAAUUGCAACGCGUUGAUGAUUGCUUGAUUUUCAAUUGCAAGAGGAUUGUUAAAACCAUAUUGAUUUCGAGUGAUUUUCAUAAUAAUCUCCUUCUCUUGAUUGUAAAGGAUUGCACCUAAGUUUCAUUCCCCUUCAAUGGUUGUAUUAGCAUCAGUAUUAAAGGUUGUUACCGAGCUUCACCCAUGAUUUACCUUUCUCCCUUGGAUACUUCCUUGAGAGAUCCUCGCCUCCUGCUUAUUAUUCUUCUGAUUCCAGGUCAUGCUCUUAGUAUGUCUUUUAUGCUUGGUUUUUUGUUGUUGUAUCUUCUCCCAAAGUUUGUUUGAAUCCUCGUUGCUACCUUCAUCCCUGUCAACUUUUCUAGAAGAUGUAUCAUGCUCUUGGGUGACAUAUGAGUUUCUCUCACUAUCUUUACUCAAGUACCUCCCCUUGUCUUCCAUGUUAAACUUCUUUCUUACGUCUUUGGCCCUAUUAAUUUUUAUCUCCUUAUUCAGACACUGAGUAUUCACCUGCUGGUUUGCUUUCCUAUUAUCCAGAUUGUCAGGGUUAGUUUCCCUAAUAACUAGAGGCACAUUGUAAUGAGGAGAAUUUUUAUUGUAAUCCCAAAUGUUCAACUUAUGGGAGAUGUUGCUAUCAUAAUUCCCUCGGCUAUUGACAUAGCCACUACCACUGCCACAUUUCCCUUCUCAACCAUCCACUAAGGCAUGUAUGUUAUAUUGGCUAAACCCCCCCCCCCCUGUUUUCCAAUGGAAUUCUACCAGAUUUUAUCAGUACUCGCCAUUUUGUUCCUACCCUCGUUGAAGUAGAAUUUUGCCGGUAAACAGUGUUAUCCAGCUUGGAAAUAUUGUCUUGGACUUGAUUCUGUCUAGUGUUAUGAUUGGUACCAUUGUUCCUACUAUUGUCCGCUUUCAAGUGAUACCUUUUCAUAUUAUUAUCUUGACAUUUGUUAAUUUGUUGCUUGUGUAUAGUAUCAUGUUGAGUGUUGCUAUGAUUGUGAUUUAAUCUUGUUCUAGUUGUGCUUUUGAACUUUGUUUUGCCAUGUUCGAUUGUUGUCUUGAGUUUGGGUGUUAAGGUUGAUUUUGAUAGAGAUAUUUAUGUUGUAUUCAACGUAGUUUAUAACGUCCUCGGUAGCCAUCUCCUUGUCUUCAAAAGAAUUUGUUUCUCGUCCACCAUAUGUUAUAUGGGAUGACCAUAACAUCCCUAAUAGUAUUUUUAUCUUUGUUCUUUAUCAAGUCCCAUAUCCACUAUUUAAUAUGGUACUCGUAAUUAUUGAAAUUGAUGUUAAGAUGAGAACCAAACAAAACUUUCCUAGCCCAGUCACAAUUUUUGAAAAUAUGAUCCAUAGUAUUCCCUUCAGUCAUACACAUAGGACAUAAUAGAGGAUAAUUCAUACCUCUUUUGCUUAUCUCCAUCUUGACCGGUAUUUCCUUGUUAAGAAUAAACCAACACAUAGUUUUAAUCUUAGGAAGAGUAUUAAUACUCCACGUUUUGUUCUAUGUAUGCUCCUCAUCUAUAAAGUUUGAGCAGUUUGGGUUAGAAGAAUAGACCAUAUUAUGGAAGUAAUGGUAGUCGAUUCUGACCAUAUAAAUGCCUUUUUUGUUUUGUAUCCACAUAAUUGAGUCCUCUUUGUUUUGAUCAUCUAAUGGAAUUUGGAGAAUUAUGUCUCUAACAUAGGUGUUAUGGCGCGAAAAAUACCUGAGUGCAUCGCACACUUGAAAUACAAUAGAGGCGCCACUGAAUUAUAUUUAUUCUAAAGGAAAUGGAAAAUAUCGAUAAAACCCACAAAAAAAUAAAUGGUCUUCGCAACCAAGAGCAGAUUCGGGAGUCAUAUAUGCAAGGGGAAGGUAUUAGCAUCCAUCACAUCCAUUAUACUCGACGUGACCCAUUUAGUUAGUUAUGCAAAUGAGUGUUAGCGUGAUGUUAGUUUGCGAUCUUCUAUCUAUUAAGUGAGAAAGAAAGAAAGAAAGAAAGGUUUUUUAUUAUUAUUGUGCCUGAAAAGAUUUCAAAAUCCAGCUUCUACAUAUCUCCAGGUGCGAUGGAGAACUUAAGGCUACGUAGUUCUUUGUAGAUAACUAUGUGUUGGUUGAUUGAUUCUAAAGAGUGACGUUUUAGAUAUUUUGAGCAGUUAAACCUUUGCUUGCUACUCACUCUUGGCAGUUGAAGCCUUUGUUUAUUUCACAUCAAAAUGGAUAGAGCAUACUCAUUUCUGAAAAAGGUUUUUUGAGCCACACAAGGGCGAAAAAAAGAGUUUGGUUUAGGUUGAAAGAUUUUAUAUGGACUAGGAUAAUCGUUUGAGCAAGGUGUGCCCCGAGCGUUCGUUCACCCAAGGCUUUUAAAGAGAUGUGCAUCUAUUUAUCAUCCAUUUUUAUAAAGAUUUAAUCUUUGCGGAAUAUGAGUAAACAUUUGAGCAUAUGUGUGCACCAAACGUGCGUUUAUUCGGGAUUCACAUGGAUGUGCACCCAAUUGUCCCUUUACUCCAAGUUGAUUAAAGUGUUUUAGAUUUAAAGACUAAUAAUCAUUUUGAAACAGGUGUGCUCCGAGCGCUCGACUAUUAAGGGGUUUAAAGAGAUGUGCAUCUCUCGGUCCUUUGUCUUUCAAUUUUAAUAAGAAAAUAUUUUCAACGUUACACUUAUUCAAGAAAAGACUUGAAUCACGUCAAUGCAAAGUUAAUCGAGUUUGAAAAAGUCACUUGGCGUUGGAUCAAGAUUUUGAAAACGUCUACUAAAAAUUAUUUAAUGACUUAUUUAUUUAUUUAUUUAUUUAAUUUCCGUAAUUAAAUAAAUAAACAAAUGAAACUAAUAACAAAUAAAUGAAUAAAAAAAGUUAUUGAUGUGGGAAAAAUAUUUUACUAAAUUACCAUUUAAUAUUAUUAUUAUUACUAUUUAAAUCAAUUAUUAAAAAUAAAAUUCUAUAAUAAUAAUAAUAAUAAAAAAUAAAGGGGUGCAAAAACAGAAAACCAAGACCGCAGAUAACAUAGGCCCAAUGCCCAAUAAUUCCACAAUGAAGAAAGACUAUAUAAAAAGUGCUGAAAAAAAAAGGUGUGAAUAACAAGCCUAAUACAUAAUCCCACUAGUAUUGGGUCAACAGUCAACCCAAGGGAGGAGAGUCAAUGUUCAUUUACUCAAUCCAGACCCUUGGAUCAAAUAGUCAUGAGAUCGUAGAGGAAUGGAAAUGCGUGCAUAAGAGCUAUGGUGAGGGGAUCCAUAUGGGAUCCCAUGGUUGACCUAAGGUUAACGCAAAUGUGAGGUGGCUUGAUGCGCCACUUAGCCUGCAUGCAAAAGACCAAAGAGAGGGAGUUGAAAUGUGUGCACGGGGGGAAAGAGUUCAUUUAGAAACUAUUCUCUCUCUCUCUCUUUUCUCACUCAGAGAGCUUCAAUGCUUCCUCUUCUUCUCACAUGAACAUUGGUGGUGUUCUUCACAAAGCACCUUGCUCCGCCAUGGAGUCCAUCGAGAAUCCCAAAUUCCGGUUGAAGCACAAUCGGAGCCAUCAACCGGACCACCACCUCUGCCCAGUUUCCAACCAAACACCUUCAAAUCCAUUCCCUUCCAACAUAAAUCCUACCUCAAUCUUUCUUUUAAACCCAUUUCUUCCUCAAAAAACCCUUCAAUCACUGAGAUCAAAACCUACAGUUUCAAAAAACCCAACCCCUCAAUCUCCAAAAAUCAGACCAAAUUAACCCAUAAACCCUCAAAUAAACAACAUCCACAACAUGAAAUCACGAGAAAAAUAACAUAUCAACAUGAAAACAAGUCAAACAUAGUUCAAAUCAAGCAAUCAACAUAGGUUUUACACCAAGCCUAGUUUAAUUCCAAACACAACAAUAUAAGCAUCAACAACAAAAGGAUUUCAUACUACUAAUAGAAAGAAUAAUGUUAGUGUCCAGAAGUUACUAGAGUGAAGGCUCCAUAAGGCUUGGUCACAUGUUUUGGGAUGGAUUGUGCAUAGCUUGGCCUUGAAGAAAUGGAGCGGGGGUGCAACCGAAUGGCAAAAUUUUGGGGUUGUGGAAGCUUGUAUAAUUUGGGUCCAAGUGUGAAAAACUUCUUGUAAUUUAGUUUGGCACUUUGUAGUUUUUAAGAACUUGUACGAUUUGAAUUUAAAUGGUAGUAAAAACUUGUAGUGUGACUUAGUCCUUUGUACUACUUAAAAUGAAAUAAAAAAUGUUUUGGAUAA